CUUGCCACAUUCAGACGGCUGGGUCUUCAGUUCCCUUCACUGUUAAUGUCUACCAUUUGUCUCUAGAAUCUGUAAGGCGCUGAUGAAUCCAAAAGCUAAAUCCCACGAGCGGUUGGUUUUUGACCAUUUUGAUACACUGUCUACGUACUCAUGUGCUUGGGAGACCCCUAAGUACAAUUACACUCUGUGGGAGCAAAGCAACAGAAUUGGGAGCUCAGAAGAAAGCUCAGCUGAAUUUCAGAAAGGAUGACAAGACAACACAUGAGAAAGAGAGGCGUUUCUUCACUUACUGAG